AUGGUGAGUAUGCAGCAAACCUGGCAGAGAAUUCUUUCAAGAUUCAAUUUUAAUCUGUGGCAACAAGUUCCAAAACCCGUAACCAUUGAUGACAAAUCCGGGGGAUUAGAAACAUCUAUUGAAAAAUGGAAACCAAGCUAUCUAGCUACAGUAGCUACCUACAAAUGCUGUCCGGUGAGUGUCUAACUUAUUAAUUAAACGUCCUAAUAAACUUUAACAUUUUAUUAGCUAAAUGAUGCCUAGAUAGCAAUGUCAUGUUUUAUGGGAUAGAGUGAAACACUUUUUGUUGAUACCAAUUUCAAUCUGUCAGCACCACUUACUGGCUAGUGUUUAGCUAGCUAAUGUUAGCUAUCAUAUUUUUGCACAAUUAAUGUAAUAGGUAGCUACCAAACUGAUUUGCCUAAACACAUAUUUAUUUGUGGAUACAUUGCAGUCUGAAUACCAAUAUCCAUGUCAAAAUGCUAGUGUCAUGGUUUAGUAGAAUGUUAGCUAACACAACAACUAAGGUAGCAACAAUAUGAGUUGAUAUGAGGUCAAAGCAAAACUUCACUUUUGCAGAUGGAUGCCCUUCCCCUACCUGUGGUGUUGGAGCUUAGACAAUUUAAGUUGAGAUCUCUCAGACCUCUCAUUGUUUGGAUUUGAAAAUCCAACCAUUGUUAUAGAAUGGGGCAGCGCUCGGAGGCCGACUGUGGCUGUUGGUGUUUGUGUGAGAAAGACACAGUGGAGAGCCAAUAAGUAAAAUCACAGCUCCCUUCAUUAUUGACGCAUUGUGCCGACAACAUCAAAGAGCCAUUCCAGACUAAGGUCAGGAGGACUUAGAGAGUUAGGUGUUAGCCAAGCUAAUGACUAACUGCAAUGGAAAAUAAAUUGUUUGUCUGCUUUACUACAGAUUGCCCAGGACUUUUCCGUUUUAAACCCAGACUGCUCGGGGAAACUCGCUGAGAACUGGAUUGCGGUCUUAAAGGACAAAAAACCUUUGCUUCGACAACUGAGAGAAGCAGGCCCAAGAUUUUCUCUUUGAAUUGCAGAUACACAAUGUGACAUCGCUUUAAGACUUUUGACAAUGGUCCUCCCAACACCAGUCUACAAGAUUGGCAGGAUGAAUUCUGACCCAGCUUCCAAAAGACCAGAAAAUUCUUAAUUGACUUGCAGCCUGUACGCGGAUAGGCAUAUGGAGAUUGUUGGAGAAAUUAAAUGAUAUCAUUUGUAAACCUUGAAUGACAGGAACAGCAUUCCAAAAUCUGUGAACUGCACACUCCAAGACAUUGUGUAAAUGAGCCUCAGCCCCAAAUGAAUGGAAAAUGUUGGGACCAACAUGGCGAUGACCAAAACCCUAUCCAUUUAUGUUGGCUCUUGGGGACUGCUCACAGGUGUUUACGGCCAUAAGUGGACAGGUAUUGGAGCAAGGGACAUUGCUUGGGGCACUGGAUUGUAUAGCUAAAUAUUGAGGUAUACGACACAGUCCACAUACUAUACUGAUUGAGGUCAGGGCUUUGUGAUGGCCACUCCAAUACCUUGACUUUGUUGUCCUUAAGCCAU